rnacentral:tRNA from 1 species
GCAGCGUUAGUACAUCGGUAGUAUAUCAGCUUCCCAAGCUGAGGAGGCGGGUCCGACUCCCGUACGCUGCU